AAAGUGCGAUAAGUCAUGUGAAUUGCAGAUUGUGAAUCAUCGAAUCUUUGAACGCAAAUGGCGCUGGAGGGGCAUAAACCAUCCCUCAAGCAUGUCUGGCUGAGUGUCGGUGUUUUAAUUAUGAAAUCUUCCCUACUUGCAAAAGUGGGGGAAAUUUUUGAUAAUUGGGAACGCAGUUGAGAAACUGACUGACGGUCCUGAAGUAUAAAUAGUAAUGAAGGGAGCGAGCUUUUAUAAAACGAAAUCAGUGUAGAGGACGUGUGGUGUUAUUUUACUUUAAACCUAAAAUUACUGAAACGCGUUCUUUUGAGUGAUCGUUGGCUAUUCACCCUUUGUGAAGAAGAACAACAAACAUAUACAUCAACGAAUCGACAUCAGCUCAGGCAAGAGUACCCGCUGA
rnacentral:misc_RNA from 1 species